rnacentral:rRNA from 1 species
CAGCAGCAGCCACGGUAAUACGGAGGGUGCAAGCGUUAUCCGGAUUUAUUGGGUUUAAAGGGUCCGUAGGCGGAUCUGUAAGUCAGUGGUGAAAUCUCACAGCUUAACUGUGAAACUGCCAUUGAUACUGCAGGUCUUGAGUAAAUUUGAAGUGGCUGGAAUAAGUAGUGUAGCGGUGAAAUGCAUAGAUAUUACUUAGAACACCAAUUGCGAAGGCAGGUCACUAAGAUUUAACUGACGCUGAUGGACGAAAGCGUGGGGAGCGAACAGGAUUAGAUACCCGCGUAGUCCCUGUCUCUUAUAC